GUCUACGGCCAUACCACCCUGAACGUGCCCAAUAUCGUUUGAUCUUGGAAGCUAAGCAGGGUUAGUAUUUGGAUGGGAGACCGCCUGGAAAUACCGGGUGCUGUAGGCU
rnacentral:rRNA from 1 species